rnacentral:lncRNA from 1 species
AGUCCUGGGGGAUUUAAGCUGAGUUUCUCAGGGUCGGAGCAUGGACUCAGCUUCCUAGAGAAGAUUCCAGCCUGGGAAGUCAAGGGAAGACCUGGUGAGGGAAGAUAGGUCAUCGUGGUGGAAAUUUCCAGGAGUAUGUUCAUGUGGCUCCGGUAGUGGGGUGAGGGCAGGGGCCCCCACAGCUCUGGGUGUCCAGAUGCAUUGUGGUAGCAGGUAUAGGAGGCACUCUGACUAUACCUGGCUUUCUUUACUUACUGUUAACAUUUUCUUUUCCCUCUUUGUUCCGUUUUGUCUUUCUUCCAGAUCAUUUGCCCACCUGCCUCUGGGAGGACGUCUUGAAGGCCGCCAGGCUGUGGUUGUCAGAUGCUGAGGAAGCACUGUUGGGGGCCCCUGGUCUCAGAAGUUUUGUCAGCCUGACUUCUCGAGAGAUACCACCAGAAGAACUAUGUCUACCUCGGUGUUUCUCCCAGAAUGAAUGCUGUGUCCCCCAGUUCCAGGCCGUGCACUUUCCUUUGAACAUCCGUCUGCAUCCUACAUCCCUGCCCCUCUGCCCACAUGCCGCUCCUUCCUGUUUAGCUUGGAUAGCAGGCUGGCUCUGGCCAUCAGAACCAUUGCUGACCUUGGCUGUCUUCACCUGCUGGGCAGACACAAAGUGAGGCCAACAUCUGGACCCAGAGGAGAAAUUAGAGGCCAUUUGUGGAAGCACUCAGGAGGCCGGAAGGCCUCUGUCCAAGGCCAAAACACCACACCAUUGUUUUCCAGUUCCAAACAGGAAGGGAACCUGGGUGUGCUUGGGCAAAGGAAAGGGAACCUGAGGUGGAUGUAAGUGUGGCAAGUGAUCUCGAGUUAAAAAGGGGCCACAGUUUCUUCUAAUAAACAGCGUAUACUGUUCUGUAUCCUGAUAUGCGUGACUAACCUCCGCAUCUUUGGUCCUCAGAAACCUUUCACAGGCUCAUUUUUCCCCCUUUCUGUUUUUAAAGACCGGAUCUCAAGUUCUCCACGAUGGCUUUGAACUUCCUAAGUAGCCAAGGAUGACCUUGACCUUCCUGUCCCCUCCUCCCAAGUGCUAGGAUUCCUCGAAUAGCAUUCCCUGCUACUCCUGACUGGGUGUGCGACUUUCUCCUUCUGUCCCGUGUCUGAGAAUGUAUGCAUUUGUAUGCAAAGCAAGAAAGAGUGGCUUCAUACAGAGAAAGAGGAAGAAUAAGAGCAACCAUUUACAACCCUCUCCUCCUGUGGUGUGUGUGUGUGUGUGUGAGUGUGUGUGUGUGUGUGUGAGACAAGGUCACACCACGUGUAGCUGGCCUGAAGUUUGGGACUCUCUGCCUCUUUCCUAAUUGCUGGGAUUACAGGCGGACGCCACACCUAGCUAAACCUGGGUUUGGAGAUGAUUCCAAAAGCCACAGUUGCAGCCAUUAGACCACCCUGCCUACCCCAAUGCUUUCAUUUGCUUUUGGAUGCCAUUCUGCCAAGGGUCUAUUAAUAGUGUUAAUAUACUGCCUGGCUCGGUGGGUUGGGGGAGGGUUGGCUGACCCAGGUAGAUCUCCUUGAAUGAAUAGCUUCACAAACAUAUUGCAUACCUCAUUUGUGUCAUAUCGGCGGUGGUCCCAUUGUUCAAAGAGACAUUGCCCAAAGAGACCUGGUCCAUCCCUUAGCUCCUUUAAGUGGGUGCUGUGAUUCCCAUCUGAAUAUCAGGCUGUGGAAUAUUUGGUGACAGUAAAAAGUUUCUGAAAGCACCGACUCAGGAUCAAAUGUGUAAUAAACUCGAGGCCUUUCUGGCUGAGCUUCCGUGAGCUGCUCAGGUCCCCCGUCACUGUAGACUCGGUUUGAACACAAGCAUGCGUCACGCUGCGAGACACCAAGGACAGCUGCCAGAGUCCCCUCCACUUGGAUUGGACACCGAAAUGUUGGCAAGCGCAGUGUUUUUACUGGACGUGCAAAGCUCUCCGCUUUGGGGUCAGUAAAGUGUCUCAGCUGAUAAAGAUGCUUGCCACGAUGACGAUGCCUAACCACUUGAGUUUGGUCCCCAAGACCCACAUAGUGGAAGGAAAGAACUGAUUCCCCAAAGUCAUCUCCUGACAUCUACCCGACUCUCCACCUAAAUAAACUAAUUAAUGA